UACGUAGGGUGCAAGCGUUAAUCGGAAUUACUGGGCGUAAGGCGGGCGCAGGCGGUUUUGUAAGUCUGUCGUGAAAGCCCCGGGCUUAACCUGGGAAUUGCGAUGGAGACUGCAAGGCUUGAAUCUGGCAGAGGGGGGUAGAAUUCCACGUGUAGCAGUGAAAUGCGUAGAGAUGUGGAGGAACACCGAUGGCGAAGGCAGCCCCCUGGGUCAAGAUUGACGCUCAUGCACGAAAGCGUGGGGAGCAAACAGG
rnacentral:rRNA from 1 species